CGUGCCUAAUACAUGCAAGUCGAGCGGACAGAAGGGAGCUUGCUCCCGGAUGUUAGCGGCGGACGGGUGAGUAACACGUGGGUAACCUGCCUGUAAGACUGGGAUAACUCCGGGAAACCGGAGCUAAUACCGGAUAGUUCCUUGAACCGCAUGGUUCAAGGAUGAAAGACGGUUUCGGCUGUCACUUACAGAUGGACCCGCGGCGCAUUAGCUAGUUGGUGGGGUAAUGGCUCACCAAGGCGACGAUGCGUAGCCGACCUGAGAGGGUGAUCGGCCACACUGGGACUGAGACACGGCCCAGACUCCUACGGGAGGCAGCAGUAGGGAAUCUUCCGCAAUGGACGAAAGUCUGACGGAGCAACGCCGCGUGAGUGAUGAAGGUUUUCGGAUCGUAAAGCUCUGUUGUUAGGGAAGAACAAGUGCGAGAGUAACUGCUCGCACCUUGACGGUACCUAACCAGAAAGCCACGGCUAACUACGUGCCAGCAGCCGCGGUAAUACGUAGGUGGCAAGCGUUGUCCGGAAUUAUUGGGCGUAAAGGGCUCGCAGGCGGUUUCUUAAGUCUGAUGUGAAAGCCCCCGGCUCAACCGGGGAGGGUCAUUGGAAACUGGGAAACUUGAGUGCAGAAGAGGAGAGUGGAAUUCCACGUGUAGCGGUGAAAUGCGUAGAGAUGUGGAGGAACACCAGUGGCGAAGGCGACUCUCUGGUCUGUAACUGACGCUGAGGAGCGAAAGCGUGGGGAGCGAACAGGAUUAGAUACCCUGGUAGUCCACGCCGUAAACGAUGAGUGCUAAGUGUUAGGGGGUUUCCGCCCCUUAGUGCUGCAGCUAACGCAUUAAGCACUCCGCCUGGGGAGUACGGUCGCAAGACUGAAACUCAAAGGAAUUGACGGGGGCCCGCACAAGCGGUGGAGCAUGUGGUUUAAUUCGAAGCAACGCGAAGAACCUUACCAGGUCUUGACAUCCUCUGACAACCCUAGAGAUAGGGCUUUCCCUUCGGGGACAGAGUGACAGGUGGUGCAUGGUUGUCGUCAGCUCGUGUCGUGAGAUGUUGGGUUAAGUCCCGCAACGAGCGCAACCCUUGAUCUUAGUUGCCAGCAUUUAGUUGGGCACUCUAAGGUGACUGCCGGUGACAAACCGGAGGAAGGUGGGGAUGACGUCAAAUCAUCAUGCCCCUUAUGACCUGGGCUACACACGUGCUACAAUGGACAGAACAAAGGGCUGCAAGACCGCAAGGUUUAGCCAAUCCCAUAAAUCUGUUCUCAGUUCGGAUCGCAGUCUGCAACUCGACUGCGUGAAGCUGGAAUCGCUAGUAAUCGCGGAUCAGCAUGCGCGGGGGAAAAACCUUUCCCGGGGCCUUGUACACACCGCCCGUCACACCACGAGAGUUUGCAACACCCGAA
rnacentral:rRNA from 1 species